GCCGAAGUGGUGGAAUGGCAUACACGUCGGUCUCAAAAACCGAUGGGCUCACGCUCGUAAGGGUUCAACUCCCUUCUUCGGCA
rnacentral:tRNA from 1 species